GAUGAACGCUGGCGGCACGCCUAACACAUGCAAGUCGAACGAAGUGUGAGGAAGCUUGCUUCCAAUCACUUAGUGGCGGACGGGUGAGUAACACGUGAGCAACCUGCCUCUUGGUUUGGGAUACCGUUCGGAAACGAACGUUAAUACCGAAUAAUAUAGCGGAUUCGCAUGUUUCUGCUAUCAAAGAUUUAUUGCCAAGAGAUGGGCUCGCGUCUGAUUAGAUAGUUGGUGAGGUAACGGCCCACCAAGUCGACGAUCAGUAGCCGGACUGAGAGGUUGAACGGCCACAUUGGGACUGAGACACGGCCCAGACUCCUACGGGAGGCAGCAGUGGGGAAUAUUGCACAAUGGGCGCAAGCCUGAUGCAGCGAUGCCGCGUGAGGAAGAAGGUUUUCGGAUUGUAAACCUCUGUCAUCGGGGACGAUAAUGACGGUACCCGAGAAGGAAGUUCCGGCUAACUACGUG
rnacentral:rRNA from 1 species